rnacentral:rRNA from 1 species
GACGAACGCUGGCGGCGUGCUUAACACAUGCAAGUCGAACGGAAAGGCCCUGCUUUUGUGGGGUGCUCGAGUGGCGAACGGGUGAGUAACACGUGAGUAACCUGCCCUUGACUUUGGGAUAACUUCAGGAAACUGGGGCUAAUACCGGAUAGGAGCUCCUGCUGCAUGGUGGGGGUUGGAAAGUUUCGGCGGUUGGGGAUGGACUCGCGGCUUAUCAGCUUGUUGGUGGGGUAGCGGCUUACCAAGGCUUUGACGGGUAGCCGGCCUGAGAGGGUGACCGGCCACAUUGGGACUGGGAUACGGCCCAGACUCCUACGGGAGGCAGCAGUGGGGAAUAUUGCACAAUGGGCGGAAGCCUGAUGCAGCAACGCCGCGUGCGGGAUAACGGCCUUCGGGUUGUAAACCGCUUUCGCCUGUGACGAAGCGUGAGUGACGGUAAUGGGUAAAGAAGCACCGGCUAACUACGUG